rnacentral:rRNA from 1 species
AACGAACGCUGGCGGCAUGCCUAACACAUGCAAGUUGAACGAGACCUUCGGGUCUAGUGGCGCACGGGUGCGUAACGCGUGGGAAUCUGCCCUUGGGUUCGGAAUAACAGUUGGAAACGACUGCUAAUACCGGAUGAUGACGUAAGUCCAAAGAUUUAUCGCCCAGGGAUGAGCCCGCGUAGGAUUAGCUAGUUGGUGGGGUAAAGGCCUACCAAGGCGACGAUCCUUAGCUGGUCUGAGAGGAUGAUCAGCCACACUGGGACUGAGACACGGCCCAGACUCCUACGGGAGGCAGCAGUGGGGAAUAUUGGACAAUGGGCGAAAGCCUGAUCCAGCAAUGCCGCGUGAGUGAUGAAGGCCUUAGGGUUGUAAAGCUCUUUUACCCGGGAUGAUAAUGACAGUACCGGGAGAAUAAGCCCCGGCUAACUCCGUG